CAGGUCCUGUGACAACAGGUACGGGCCAGCAUUGGGACAGGCUUUGCCUGUAAGAGGGCUGGUCUGGGGGGACAUCUGAACCCAAUUCAGGAACACCUCACAGGUCUGCCAGCAGGGCUAGACCCGGGGUGAGAUCCAGGGCAACAGGGUCUGCCUGGGAAGCUCAGCUCCGGCACUGCCUGGGGCGUCUCUGCCUACACAGGACCAUUCCUCUCGCCUGGACUCCUCUUGGAGUUUGCCAAGGCUGGCCUCUGCAGAAAUAGGAGACUCCUGGAGGAAGACAGUGGACUUCAGCAAGCUGCACCAAGGAGAAUCCACAGCGGCAGCUGCCCUGCCAGGCGCGGGAUCUCGGUCAAGGUGGAUCAACACAGCCUCAGGAAGCCCAGAGAGAACUGGACAAGCUGGAUAUCCCAAAGAGCAUGGCACUGGCCCACCACAUUGAUUACAUUGCGCUGGCCGGGUGCUAACCAAGAAGCAGCUAACACACUGGGAGUCUUGGUAAGAUGCCUGAGUGCCUGCAGCUGGCAGACAAAUCCUACAAAGAUUCUGGGAACUGCCACUAAUAACACUCUUGGUGGGGAGGUCCCAUAUCCCAUAACCAGGAGCAUACUGGGCCUCCUGUCCACAGCAAAGAGCCAAUUACUGCAUCUUGCAUCUCCCAUGACCAAGAGAGACAGACAAUGCCAGUACGCCUUCUGGAGGCAGCACGUUCCACACACAUGAAGACUACUCCAGCCUAUGUACCAUUGAUAGGAGAAGCUGUCGGCCUUCCCUGAGCCUGCAGCAGGUCGAGGCUGCAGUGCUGGCAGCCCUGUGACUCAGGCCCUGCAGCUGGUCGGACCCUGUGUUAUGAGAGGUAUCAGACGUGGGAAAGCAAUGCUGUGUGUUUAUGGCAAACCACUAUGCCAGAAUCACAGUGCAGGCCCCUGGGAUUCAGAAACAAAGCCGUGCCAUCUGCGGCAGAGGAUUCUGCGAAAAAUUCUGAAAAGUCCCUGUUGAUGUGCUCCUGGGGCCUGGGGUGAUGGAAUACCUGAUUGUGCAUGUGGAACUGCUCAGAUGAGCUGGAUUCUGUCUCACCCCUGGGUCAUGAGGUUGGGGACUCAGAAAUAACCCAUCACAGGUGGGAGUGUGCGUGUGGCAGCAGCAGAAGCAGGAGCAGGAGGCCAAGCAGCGGCAGCUGCCCAGUACCCCCCCCCACCCUCCACAGCAGUCCCCACAGCCCCAGUGGAGGAACCUUCUGGUGAACUGAGGAGGGAGGGACAAGCCCGGCCUCAGUUCAUGGAGGUGUCUGCUCUGCCUGUGGGGCCAGCCCAAAUCGCCUGGCUGCCAUACUCCAGUCUCAGCAAGCUGCCCUUUAAAGAGGGUGAUAUGGUUUGGCUCUGUGUCCCCACCCAAAUCUCAUCUUGAACUGUAAUCCCCAGGUGAUGAGGGUGAG
rnacentral:lncRNA from 1 species